AUUGAACGCUGGCGGCAGGCUUAACACAUGCAAGUCGAGCGGAGUGAUGGUGCUUGCACUAUCACUUAGCGGCGGACGGGUGAGUAAUGCUUAGGAAUCUGCCUAUUAGUGGGGGACAACAUCUCGAAAGAGAUGCUAAUACCGCAUACGUCCUACGGGAGAAAGCAGGGGAUCACUUGUGACCUUGCGCUAAUAGAUGAGCCUAAGUCGGAUUAGCUAGUUGGUGGGGUAAAGGCCUACCAAGGCGACGAUCUGUAGUGGGUCGGAGAGGAUGAUCCGCCACACUGGGACUGAGAAACGGCCCAGACUCCUACGGGAGGCAGCAGGGGGGAAAAUUGGACAAUGGGGGGAACCCUGAUCCAGCCAUGCCGCGUGUGUGAAGAAGGCCUUAUGGUUGUAAAGCACUUUAAGCGAGGAGGAGGCUCUUUUGGUUAAUACCCAAGAUGAGUGGACGUUACUCGCAGAAUAAGCACCGGCUAACUCUGUGCCAGCCGCCGCGGUAA
rnacentral:rRNA from 1 species